UAGAUGGGUAGAACAUUUUGGCC
rnacentral:piRNA from 1 species